GUAAACUUUUUGUUGCACAAAUGACAUACGCUACAUGCUCGCGUUGAAAAGGACAGUUCACAGUGUUGGAGAUGAUGCCGAGCGGAGGUAGCCGCUGACAGACUCGAUAAUGAUCCUUCCGCAGGUUCACCUACGGAAA
rnacentral:misc_RNA from 1 species